UUUAGGAUGAUACUGAAUGUUGGAUUAGUUUGGCACUAUUGGUGGUUUGGUGCAAGAGCAACUUAUUUGUUCUUGCCUCACUAUCCCAGACAUCAUUCACCAUAUGUAUUGGUUCAAAAUCCAUCUGUGAAUUUCAAUAUUUGUGGAUAACAUACAGUCACAUCAUGAAAACAUAAAUUAAGAUAUACUAAGGGAUCCAUUCACUUCCAAUUGUCAUGACCGAGACAGAAAGAGGAAGACUUGAGAAAUACAAAGGCCACUUGAAUAUAUGACGAUACUCGGAGCAUCUGUCAAAAAUCUGAAUCCAUGAAGUCAAGGUUGCUGUGUUGCCACUUCUGAGAGAUUCUAUUUGUUUCAGUGCAGAGACAGAGAGAGACUGUGAAAGGAAAACAGGAGUGAUCGAUCUGGAUUUGUUUGACAAGAGGUGUAGAGAUAGAGAGAAACUGUGAAAGGAGAAGAUCAGAAGGAAUCAAUGUUGGACAAGAGGCUUCCAACGUAGAAGACAGGACAUCAGUUGAUAGCAGCCCACCAGAAUCAGCAACAAAUGAGCUUCUCAUCAACGCGAAUGAAGCACCAACAACAGACGAACCAAAUGAUGAUACCUUUGAAGAACUCAUGUAAAGUAACUGGUUCGAAAGAUAAAUGCAGAUUAUUUUGAUGAGAACUACCUACCUUUGCAAUUAGAGUUUAGGAACUUUGGUUAGAAUGAUCAUUUUUUGAACAAAUGUUGGUUAAAAUACCCGUUUCUGUGCAAAACAUCAAUUUCUGAAAUAUGUGAAUAGACAAAUCUGGUCAAAACUCCAGCUUUUGAAUGAUAA